rnacentral:rRNA from 1 species
AGUGAACGCUGGCGGUAGGCCUAACACAUGCAAGUCGAACGGCAGCACAGUAAGAGCUUGCUCUUACGGGUGGCGAGUGGCGGACGGGUGAGGAAUACAUCGGAAUCUACUUUUUCGUGGGGGAUAACGUAGGGAAACUUACGCUAAUACCGCAUACGACCUACGGGUGAAAGCAGGGGAUCUUCGGACCUUUCGCGAUUGAAUGAGCCGAUGUCGGAUUAGCUAGUUGGCGGGGUAAAGGCCCACCAAAGCGACGAUCCGUAGCUGGUCUGAGAGGAUGAUCAGCCACACUGGAACUGAGACACGGUCCAGACUCCUACGGGAGGCAGCAGUGGGGAAUAUUGGACAAUGGGCGCAAGCCUGAUCCAGCCAUACCGCGUGGGUGAAGAAGGCCUUCGGGUUGUAAAGCCCUUUUGUUGGGAAAGAAAAGCAGCAGGUUAAUACCCCGCUGUUCUGACGGUACCCAAAGAAUAAGCACCGGCAAACUUCGU